UCUCUUCAGAUACGCGUACUUAUUAGAUGGCAACAGAACAUAAAAUACCACGCUUGAAAGAUGAACUUGAUUGCCUCCUGUGGUACAGUAUUCACAGGAAAAAAGAAAAAGAAACAAGACCAGGCAUAAGUGUGAAGAAAACGGCAAAGACAGGCCAAGCACAUGCAAACAAGUGGAGCUAGGCUGGGGAGAGGCACGAUGUUCAGACCAAGAGGAACAUUUUAUGACAGCUCGAGCACCAAAAUAUCUUUUCAGUUCUGUGUCUGGAUUCAAGUGUCUAGAGAAUUGAAAAUUUCACGAACAGAAAUGAAAUU